UCAUGUUUGUGUGUGUCCUUGUAAUUUUAAUCGGUUUGUUUACUUUGAUUCCCACGUAUGGGCUCAGUCUCAGGGGACAUCUAUGCGUCUGCCUGCUUAGUGUCUUCAGUCUUUAACUCUAUGUUCCUUUGGUUCGUUAAUGAAAUUUACAGAGGGAAAAGAAAAAGUCGGGCCUGCAUCAAAUAUUAUCUUUUAAAGUUACCAGAUGGAUAUAAAAUAGUAUCAAACACUAAGACCG
rnacentral:lncRNA from 1 species